rnacentral:rRNA from 1 species
UACGGAGGAUGCAAGCGUUAUCCGGAUUGAUUGGGCGUAAAGCGUCUGUAGGUGGUUACGCUAGUCGGCUGUUAAAGAUCAGGGCUGAACCCUGAGCAAGCAGUCGAAACUGCGUGGCUGGAGUACGGUAGGGGCAGAGGGAAUUCCCGGUGGUAGCGGUGAAAUGCGUAGAUAUCGGGAAGAACACCAAAGGCGAAAGCGCUCUGCUGGGCCGAA